rnacentral:rRNA from 1 species
GACGAACGCUGGCGGCGUGCUUAACACAUGCAAGUCGAACGGAAAGGCCCUGCUUUUGUGGGGUGCUCGAGUGGCGAACGGGUGAGUAAAACGUGAGUAACCUGCCCUUGACUUUGGGAUAACUUCAGGAAACUGGGGCUAAUACCGGAUAGGAGCUCCUGCUGCAUGGUGGGGGUUGGAAAGUUUCGGCGGUUGGGGAUGGACUCGCGGCUUAUCAGCUUGUUGGUGGGGUAGUGGCUUACCAAGGCUUUGACGGGUAGCCGGCCUGAGAGGGUGACCGGCCACAUUGGUACUGAGAUACGGCCCAGACUCCUACGGGAGGCAGCAGUGGGGAAUAUUGCACAAUGGGCGGAAGCCUGAUGCAGCAACGCCGCGUUCGGGAUGACGGCCUUCGGGUUGUAAACCGCUUUCGCCUGUGACGAAGCGUGAGUGACGGUAAUGAGUAAAGAAGCACCGGCUAACUACGUG